UGGUGAGUAUCCCCGCCUGUC
rnacentral:ncRNA from 2 species